AAAAGAAACUAACAAGGAUUCCCCUAGUAGCGGCGAGCGAAGCGGGAAGAGCUCAAAUUUAUAAUCUGGCACUUUCAGUGUCCGAGUUGUAAUCUCUAGAAGUGUUUUCCGCGUUGGACCGCACACAAGUCUGUUGGAAUACAGCGGCACAGUGGUGACACCCCCGUACACGGUGCGGACGCCCAGCGCUUUGUGAUACACUUUCGAAGAGUCGAGUUGUUUGGGAAUGCAGCUCAAAUUGGGUGGUAAAUUCCAUCUAAAGCUAAAUAUUGGCGAGAGACCGAUAGCGAACAAGUACCGUGAGGGAAAGAUGAAAAGCACUUUGGAAAGAGAGUUAACAGUACGUGAAAUUGUUGGAAGGGAAACGCUUGAAGUCAGACUUGCUUGCCGGAGCUUGCUUCGGUUUGCAGGCCAGCAUCAGUUUUCCGGGGUGGAUAAUGGCGGUUAGAAGGUAGCAGCUUCAGCUGUGUUAUAGCUUUCCGCUGGAUACAUCCUGGGGGACUGAGGAACGCAGCGUGCUUUUAGCGGGGGUUUCGACCUCUUCACGCUUAGGAUGCUGGUGUAAUGGCUUUAAACGACCC
rnacentral:rRNA from 1 species